rnacentral:lncRNA from 1 species
GAGCAAAGCAAAUGAAUUCAUCCUGAUCUUUCCUACUAUGCAGGCUCAGAAACAGACAUACAAUGUGAUUAAUCAUAUUUCUAAAUUGGUUCUCAACAAUAGUUUGGACAUGUAAUCAACACAGGUGAUAAUGCAAACUCACAGCAAGAAAUGUGCAUCGUCAUUUAUCAGUUAGUAAAAAAUAAAGCAAUUUCUGAAUAUUCCAUUUAAAGGAAAUCUUCUUCAAAUCAGCUAACAUUUAAAUAAUGUAAAACGUCUGCAGUGAAUUUCUGUGGUUUUGGUAAGCUCAAAUUCCCUUCCCUCUCUUCCAGCAAGUAUCCCAUCUCUUCCUUUAUGACAGGGGAUGAGAUGAUUGGUUGGAUAGCAUCACUAACUCCAAGGAUAUGAAUUUGAGCCAAGUGCAGGAGAUAGUGAAGGACAGGGAAGCCUGGCGUGCUGCAGUCCUUGCUUUUGCAAAGAGUCAGACGCAUACAGCUAAGUGACUAAGCAACAGCAACCACCCCUGUCACCUCUGGAGGAGUUGGUGGGCACAUGGCCGUGAUCUCAGGGAGAAACACCAUCUAGAGCAGGUCAAUUAGAACAACUCACUAGUCAGACAUUGUCAAGAAUCCCAACAAUGGCCACAGAACCUCUGAUCCUUCUCUUGGGACUUUUCACUUGCAGAUCGGGGAGAAACUGUCUUAUUUCUCCUUUGCAGUUGUUGACUCAGGAUGGUUCCAGGUUGCAGCUCCCCGGUCCGUGUGUUUUCCAUGUGACAAGAACUUCACGGAGAAAGAGGGAAAGAACACCUAUCAAAGGGGAGAGAUCCUAGAUUCAACUUAACAACAAUAGUGUAACAGAGUUUCUGAA